CGAAAGCCUGACGGAGCAACGCCGCGUGAGGGAUGAAGGCCUCUGGGCUGUAAACCUCUUUUCUCAAGGAAGAAGAUCUGACGGUACUUGAUGAAUAAGCCACGGCUAAUUCCGUGCCAGCAGCCGCGGUAAUACGGGAGUGGCAAGCGUUAUCCGGAAUUAUUGGGCGUAAAGCGUCCGCAGGCGGUUCUGUAAGUCUGCCGUUAAAGCGUGGAGCUUAACUCCAUUUCGGCGGUGGAAACUGCAGGACUUGAGUGUGGUAGGGGCAGAGGGAAUUCCCGGUGUAGCGGUGAAAUGCGUAGAUAUCGGGAAGAACACCAGUGGCGAAAGCGCUCUGCUGGGCCAUAACUGACGCUCAUGGACGAAAGCCAGGGGAGCG
rnacentral:rRNA from 1 species